AGGGAUCCCAUUGGCAUCUAUGACUGCUUCAGAGGCACAGUCUGCUACCAAUACUUCUUCUGAAACUACGUCGGUAGUCAGAGGAUCAGUGACAAUUUCUGCUUCCACUACACUAUCAUGAACCGUCAGACACAUGUAUAGAAUCACCCGUCAAGACGUGUUCUGGCAUAGACAUUGAGGCUGAAGUAAUGUCAGAAGCUAAAACAUCAUCUGGGACUGUGCAAUGUGCUAAAGAAACUUCUUCAGUUACAUCUGAGUCCAGCACUUGCUCAGGAAUGAUGACCGUUUCAGACACAUCUGCUUCUUCCAUGAUAUCUGGGCACUGAACAUCUUCUAUAACAACGUCCUCAAUAACAUCUUGGAUUACAACUGAAUCUGGGUCAUCAGGAACAAAGUUAUGCACAGUUAUGUCUGAAUCCACAACAUCUGAAACAAAAACAGUUUCUUGUACUUCCACAACAAUUUGAUCACCAUCCAUGUGUGUACCAUCAGCUCC
rnacentral:lncRNA from 1 species